AGAACCACUGAGUGUCCCUACUUCCUAACCUUUCCUCUCCAUAACCCUAACCCUAACCCUAACCGUAACCCUAACCCCAACCCCAACCCCAACCCCAACCCCAACCCCAACUAAUUCGAAAUUCGCUUCCGUGGCUUCUUCCAUCUCACAAGGUCAAUUCAUCUUAACCCAAUUCUUCUCUUUUUCUAUGUAGUCUCUGGUUUUUUCCAUUCCUUAAUUUCGUCUAGUUACAAAAUUUGAAUUCGGUGAACGUUAGGGUUUCAUAUUUUACAAAGCUCGCCUAUUCGUUUCAAAUUCACCGAUUCGGUUAAAGAUUUUCAACAAAAUCAAAAUUUUAUGGGAAGCAAUGAUAGUUUCGGCGACAGGAUUUUCAAAACCCGUUCCCAUCUGGCGGACGUCACGAAUCGUCCGGCGAAAAGGCCGUUUUCUUUAGUUUCUGGCGAUGGCGGGGACUUGCAGUUCACAAAGCUAAUUCGCUUAGGGGUAGAAAAUUUAGCAAAAGAGAAAAACCAAAUGCAAUUCGGAGCACAGGCUCACCUUAACAACGUGGUCCUGUUGCAACCAAAAGAAAAACACCCCAUUUUGUUGCCGUUUUCUGAUUCGCACUCGUUUCAAGAUCCCAUCUUCCUCAAGGAGGGAAUGGAGGAGCAUAAUACGUUGGAUUUGGAGAAUUUUAAAUUUGGGGAGAAAGGGGAAGGAAUUGUCGCCACUGAUAGUGCGGUUGAAAGUGGGGGCAAAGUUAUUUGUGAUGUUGAGAAUUUGGGAUCUCCCAAGCGUGGGACUGAGCAAAUGCCAACAAUCUCUGCCUCUAAUGAUUCUAAUUUUCUGGGAUUGAAACCGUGCUCAAGUUCUGUUACUGAAGCUGCGGACGUGAAAUCUUGCACUUGUUCCUUUUGCUCCAAAGCUGCUUAUAUCUGGUCGGAUCUCCAUUACCAGGAUGCCAAAGGUAGAUUAAGUGCUAUAAAGAAGAGUCAGAAAGAGGCAAAAAUGAUUAUUCAGAAGUUUUCUGGAUUAGAGGAUACAAUCAUGCAUGACCAGCACCGAAGUGAGGAGUCGUUGAAGUUAGAAUUUUCCCUUGUGCAUCAGUGGAAGUCUCUCUUUCUUGAAAUUCAGAAUAUGUAUACUCAAGAAAGUAGCCAACUUGAAUCAAGCUUUGAAACACUAAAAAUUUUGAGAGAAAUGCAAAACCGGUCUUGAGUUGAAUGACAACAGCCAUUGUGAAAAUCAAUAGUUGUUCCAAUCUGUUUUUUCCCUAAUACCUGCAAGUAUAUGUGUACAUUUGGCACAUCGUCUGUUUCCACCGACUCUUGUAUGAUUUGAUUGAACUUGCUUUGGAGGAUAACUAUUCUGCGUUUUUGGGAUGUCCCUGAGGGGAUUGAAAGAUGAUUAUGCUACAUGCUGCUCAAAGAUAUUUGGUCCAUGGUUUUUUCAACUCCUAAGAUUGGUUUCAAUGAAUGUUUGGCAACAACGAUUUUAGGACUCUCUUCAAUGAUGUGCAACUCCUUAGCUUUAAGAUUGGUAUGUGAAAUUAAUUGUCUUAGACAGUCUUAAGCUGCCAAAAGCAUGGAAUUAAAAAUAGCGCCUAGUGGAUCGCCCCGCCAUUAAAAAUAGUCAGCCUUGUGGACUUCACAUUUCAUGGGAUGAAGACCUGUUUGUCAAUGUCACGGGAAUUUCUUGAGAUUCCGAAAUUCAGCCACAACAACUACAGCCUAUUAAUUAUGAAUUUCAUUCACCUUUCUUAACGGCAGUUAAAGGUGACUCACGACUUCAAUAUUGAAAUCUAGAUUCACCAUGUUGACAAUUAAUGGUGGUUGGUGACUUUGGGAGUUUGAUCAACAUUGCUGGUCAUGAAUUAUCAUUACCUGAUCUCCUUGCUACUUAGAUUAUCAUAGUCAAAACUUAAAGAUGUGUUUAAAUUCAAAUUGGUUUAGUCAAGAUAGUUAAAAUUUUCAAGAA